rnacentral:rRNA from 1 species
UACGUAGGGUGCGAGCGUUAAUCGGAAUUACUGGGCGUAAAGCGUGCGCAGGCGGUUUUGUAAGUCUGUCGUGAAAUCCCCGGGCUUAACCUGGGAAUUGCGAUGGAGACUGCAAGGCUAGAAUCUGGCAGAGGGGGGUAGAAUUCCACGUGUGAGCAGUGAAAUGCGUAGAGAUGUGGAGGAACACCGAUGGCGAAGGCAGCCCCCUGGGUCAAGAUUGACGCUCCAUGCACGUAAAGCGUGGGGAGCAACAAGG